GAUCUAACUCAGUUGGUAGAGUGCUUGCCUUUCAUUCACAAGACCCUGGGUUAGAUCCCCAGCAAAACA
rnacentral:tRNA from 1 species